rnacentral:rRNA from 1 species
AGUGAACGCUGGCGGUAGGCCUAACACAUGCAAGUCGAACGGCAGCACAGGAGAGCUUGCUCUCUGGGUGGCGAGUGGCGGACGGGUGAGGAAUACAUCGGAAUCUACUCUGUCGUGGGGGAUAACGUAGGGAAACUUACGCUAAUACCGCAUACGACCUACGGGUGAAAGCAGGGGAUCUUCGGACCUUGCGCGAUUGAAUGAGCCGAUGUCGGAUUAGCUAGUUGGCGGGGUAAAGGCCCACCAAGGCGACGAUCCGUAGCUGGUCUGAGAGGAUGAUCAGCCACACUGGAACUGAGACACGGUCCAGACUCCUACGGGAGGCAGCAGUGGGGAAUAUUGGACAAUGGGUGCAAGCCUGAUCCAGCCAUACCGCGUGGGUGAAGAAGGCCUUCGGGUUGUAAAGCCCUUUUGUUGGGAAAGAAAUCCAGCUGGCUAAUACCCGGUUGGGAUGACGGUACCCAAAGAAUAAGCACCGGCUAACUUCGUGCCAGCCGCAGCCGUAA